GUCAGUCUGUCAGGCAGCUCCUCAGUUGAGGUUCCCUCUUCCCCGUGACUGUAGUUUGUCAAAUUAACAAGAAUUAAUCAGUGCAGGUGUUGUGAAACAAUUUCCACCUGAAAAAUGAGAAAUAAAAAUAGUAUCUUAACGAGAUUCACUCAUGAAUCUGCGGCAGCAGCAUGGCCUGGGAGAGCUCAUCCCUGCUCUGCUUUGUAAGCUCCAUGGCUCAAGGCCAGCACGGCCGGCUCAGUCCCAUGUCCUGCUUCCUGUUCCGAGCCCCUCACGCAAACCUUGGGUGUCUCUGGCUAUUGAUAGUUGCACAGGUGCUCCCAGGUCGAUGGACUUCAGACGCGGGUCACUGCCAUCAGGAAACAGCUGAGUCACGAACUCCCAGGUCCAAGGGGAGGAAGCAGAUUCCAGGGUCUGUGGAGGACUGCCCGGCCUAUGUUGUAAGAAACAUACAAAGCAGAAGGAAAGCCUGCUCCUCCCUGGGACUCUCCUUGCUCUGUAGGCCUCGAGAUUCCUGCAGACUCAAACCACCCAUCCUCCCCGCCCAGCCGGAGCUAAGGGCCAACUCCAUCAGGCAGCAGCCUCUGAUAAGUUCGGAAAACAAGGAGAAUUUGAAAGGGGGAGGAUCAGCCACCGUCCGUGUCCCCUGCAAUGACUAGGGGCUCUUCCACUUCGGCCUGCUGGCCUCAGGCCUCCCACCCAGGAUGUGCGGCAUCCAGUGGCGGGUCCACGGCUCGGGAGUAGGAGGUUGCGACACCAGCACAAUAGCCACCAUUUCCGAUGGUUGCGCGCUCCCCGCCCGCUCCUCCCAGGGCACAGGCCUCGGGAGCACUCCUCGCCCAUUUGGUGGCCCAGGUGUUCCCCAGCGGCUUCCAGGAACUUAAGUGUCAACGAAAGCAUGCUUCCUUUCUGCAAACAAGGAGACUCUGUGGGUCUGUGGAUCUGGGUCACCCCGCCCUUUGCGGUCUGGGGACCCUGCGCCCCAGGCUCCCGAGAUGGCCACCAGAGGGCGCACGAGCGCCGCCACGAGCAGGACCUCCGCCCCGGGCGCGGGACCCGGGCCAGGGCGCUGCGGGGGGGGGGAUCAGACCCGGCCUGGUCACACGGUGCCCCUGGGCAGGGUGACCCAGUGAUCUGGCUCUGCGGAGGGGCCACCGUGAUGGCCCUCUCCAGGACCCGAACCAACAGGGAUCACCAGCCCAGAACCCA
rnacentral:lncRNA from 1 species